GAGUUUGAUCUUGGCUCAGGACGAACGCUGGCGGCGUGCUUAACACAUGCAAGUCGAACGAUGAAGCCUUUCGGGGUGGAUUAGUGGCGAACGGGUGAGUAACACGUGGGCAAUCUGCCCUGCACUCUGGGACAAGCCCUGGAAACGGGGUCUAAUACCGGAUACGACACGGGACCGCAUGGUCUUCGUGUGGAAAGCUCCGGCGGUGCAGGAUGAGCCCGCGGCCUAUCAGCUUGUUGGUGGGGUGAUGGCCUACCAAGGCGACGACGGGUAGCCGGCCUGAGAGGGCGACCGGCCACACUGGGACUGAGACACGGCCCAGACUCCUACGGGAGGCAGCAGUGGGGAAUAUUGCACAAUGGGCGAAAGCCUGAUGCAGCGACGCCGCGUGAGGGAUGACGGCCUUCGGGUUGUAAACCUCUUUCAGCAGGGAAGAAGCGAGAGUGACGGUACCUGCAGAAGAAGCGCCGGCUAACUACGUGCCAGCAGCCGCGGUAAUACGUAGGGCGCAAGCGUUGUCCGGAAUUAUUGGGCGUAA
rnacentral:rRNA from 1 species